UAGUAAGUUUGUGUUGCCUGUGAUGCUCGUAAGAUAAUUCCUUCCUGUGGCAGAGCUAAUGCAUCUUCACCUGCUAUAUGUUUAGGUUCUCAAGCAUUCUUAGGCAAAUGUGAAAAUCGACACCAUAAACACACAUUCAUUCAAUGUCUACAGGUGCUUAUAGUGAAUGUGAAGUUUUGUUUUUCACAUUUACUGUGCUAAAUGAAGUACAGUAACAUGCAGCUAGCCUGGUGGAAGCGUCAGCGGCGACAAACCACAGCAUGCCCGAGCAAACCUUCCCUGUCGCAGCGCUCGUUGAAGAUUCCCACGAUCACUAAAAGAAGCUGAAAUGAAGAACAUUCCACUGGUGGACUUGUUGGACAGCAAAUAAAAGAGAGCAGAAGAAUAAACAAUUACGGAUCUCCAACAAAACUUAAUGAGUCACUAUUGAUGUUGAGGACCCCGUGAAUAACAGCUUCUCGUCGCGCUUAUGCUGUAUCCGUGACUCCUCUUACGACGAAAAAAUCGGGCGGAACCUUUUUAGACCGUAGAAAGCACGCCUGCAAACGAUGAUUCCGAAAGCACGUGUGAAAAGAAAAGGUACGUCGAAAACUGGCGCUGUUAUUCAUCUGCUUAAUCUGUGCGAUGUUGCUGUCCUUGAUGAAAAUGGCGGUGUUCCAUGAAAUGGCGGCCUCACGCAAAAUGGCUGGCUUACCCAACGAUCGCAAGACGACUAGCUAUCGGCGGAUUUCGACUUGACUGUAGCUGGUCAUAACGAAGUCAAUUCUAAAUGGGUGUUUGAUACCGUAGCUGCUUCUAGAAAGAGAACUACUCGACGAUACAUUUAUAUUAGUAAUUACAUGGCGUUGUAUUAAUGCUAUAUAAUUUGAAAAUCUCUAGCGAUCCGAAUUUGUUUUUAUAUACACAUAAAUUGAAACAAUGUCAAACUGUAUGAUUUGUAUUUUUUUUAAUAACAUAAAUGG